rnacentral:rRNA from 1 species
AGGCACUACGGUGCUGAAGUGACAAAUGCCCUGCUUCCAGGAAAAGCCUCUAAGCAUCAGGUAACAUCAAAUCGUACCCCAAACCGACACAGGUGGUCAGGUAGAGAAUACCAAGGCGCUUGAGAGAACUCGGGUGAAGGAACUAGGCAAAAUGGUGCCGUAACUUCGGGAGAAGGCACGCUGAUGGUAGGUGAAGUGACUUGCUCAUGGAGCUGAAAUCAGUCGAAGAUACCAGCUGGCUGCAACUGUUUAUUAAAAACACAGCACUGUGCAAACACGAAAGUGGACGUAUACGGUGUGACGCCUGCCCGGUGCCGGAAGG